UACGUAGGGGGCAAGCGUUGUCCGGAAUCAUUGGGCGUAAAGAGCGUGUAGGCGGCCCGGUAAGUCCGCUGUGAAAGUCGAGGGCUCAACCCUCGAAUGCCGGCGGAUACUGUCGGGCUAGAGUCCGGAAGAGGCGAGUGGAAUUCCUGGUGUAGCGGUGAAAUGCGCAAAUAUCAGGAGGAACACCUACGGCGAAGGCAGCUCGCUGGAACGGUACUGACGCUGAGACGCGAAAGCGUGGGGAGCAAACAGG
rnacentral:rRNA from 1 species